ensembl:lncRNA
CUCCUCCUCCUCCUCCUCCCUGCAUGCUGCCACUGCUGCUGCUGCUGGUUUCAGGAAGCGGAAGCAGGAAUGUUGGAGUGUUUUUUAGAAAAGUUUGGACAUUUGUGACAGUUCGGGAUCAGAGACGCAAACAGCGGAGGACCAUGACGGCGUGCUACCUGUUGCUGAUGUUGCUGUAACGCUGUCAGUCUGCUCAGACUGACCACAACCAGACACACAUAUGGAGAGUGGAGCUGUGGGGGUGGAAGCCAGUGCUGCUCCUCAGGGUGGGUCAUCAGAUCCCAGAGGGAAGCCGGUCACUAUGGCCUGUCUGCGGCGCCAAGCCUGGGCUCAGAGCAAAGAAUCCAUCUGGCAGGAAUCGAAGCCGGAGCACUGCGACCCCCAGGGGUCCCAGCAGAGCCAGAGAAACGGGGAGACACGGAGAACCUCGGAGGAACCAGGGCAAGUUCCUAACAAGAUCGCCAGCUGGCUGAGUGAAUGCAGGUACGGCACACACUCCUCGCCCGAUUAAAGGACCAUACCGGUGUUUUUAAUGUUUUGUUUUUUAA